rnacentral:rRNA from 1 species
CCUACGGGGGGCAGCAGUGAGGAAUAUUGGUCAAUGGGCGGAAGCCUGAACCAGCCAAGUAGCGUGCAGGAUGACGGCCCUACGGGUUGUAAACUGCUUUUAUACGGGAAUAACGCGCCUUACGUGUAGGGCUUUGCAUGUACCGACUGAAUAAGGACAGGCUCAUUCAGGGCCAGCAGCCGGGGUAAUACGGAAGGUCCGGGCGUUAUCCGGAUUUAUUGGGUUUAAAGGGAGCGUAGGCCGCAUGUCAAGCGUGCUGGGAAAUGUACGGGCUCAACCCGGGCCUUGCAGCGCGAACUGGCGUGCUUGAGUCAGCGGAAAGCAGGCGGAAUUCGUCGUGUAGCGGUGAAAUGCUUAGAUAUGACGAAGAACCCCGAUUGCGAAGGCAGCUUGCUGCAGCGGAACUGACGCUGAUGCUCGAAAGCGCGGGUAUCGAACAGGAUUAGAUACCCCAGUAGUC